GGCGAGGAGGCUGGCUCCAGGCGGGCGGGCGCCCCGGCCGAGGUUGCCUAAGCCUGGACGCCGGCCGGCUGUCAGCGAGGGCGUGUUCUUAGCCCCAGGGUGCUCAGGCCAGCGCGACACCACCAGUUCUGCCUCAGCUGUGGGACAAAGUUCUCAGGUAGAGAACGCACGAAAGGCAGAAAGUCGAGGACAAGGAGAACUCUACCAUCAUUCAUGAUCUCUGUCCUGGAUCCUUGGGGCACUCUAGCACCUGCCAUUUCAUCUGUAUCUUAGCCCAGUAAAAAGGCAGAGAGAAAAGAGGUCACAUCUCCGUGUUUUAUUUAAGAGUGGCCCAAAGGUGGCACGUGUCAUUUUGACUCUUACCUAGUUAGAGACGUAACCAACAUCUGUUAGAAAGCUAAACAAUGAAGUUCUGCAGCUGAGCAACCAGAGCUCCAAUUAGCAGUGGGCAGUUUGGAAGUUCUGGUAAUGAAGAAGAUGCAUGCAACCAUUCAUCAUGAUACAUCUGCUUAAGUGAAUUAAUAAAUGGCUAACAGGCUAGUAAAGCACAGUUCUGGGGUGUCUGUGGAAGACUGACAUGCGGGCCAGUACCCUCAAAGGGGAAGACUCACCCCUGACAUGGGUGCCACAACCAACAGGCUUGUAGCAGGGAUGGGAAAUAAAAAAGAAAGGAGGAGUAAGUGUGCCCAUUUCUGAAGAGCCCCAGUCUUUACCAUCUCCUUUGGACAUCGGUCUCCAGUAUCUUCAGCCCUCCAACACAGACUUGCACUGGUGACUACUGGACCACUGCUGCAUCUUGAUCCCUCUUCCGGGGCCUCCAUCUUCUUGAGUUGAGCAGCUCCUGGAUGCUCCAGGUCCACACCAUCCUGACAGCCAUUGUGGAUUCUUCCACCUUGAAUUCCACAGACAUCCACUGUGGACUCUCCCACCUCUGAUCAUGAAGCCUAACUAAUAAAUCCCCUUGCAUAAUUACACAUA